CAGUGUCACUUACGCAUGGCCCAAGUUGGCCCAACGGUUGGUUUCGAACCCGAUUCCCUCAGCACAGUAGCCGGAUGUGCUACCCAUUAGACCAUGGACUACCCAGUGACCCAAGUUGGCG
rnacentral:lncRNA from 1 species